rnacentral:rRNA from 1 species
UAGUUGAUCCUGCCGGACUGACUGCUAUCGUAUUGGUACUAAGCCAUGCGAGUCGUUGUAGCAAUACAAGGCGAACUGCUCAGUAACACGUAGUUAACCUAACCUAUGGAUGGGGAUAACCUCGGGAAACUGAGAAUAAUACCCAAUAGAUCACAGUGCCUGGAAUGGCCUGNUGAUUGAAAUGAUUUAUCGCUGUAGGAUGGGACUGCGGCCUAUCAGCUUGUUGGUGAGGGUAAUGGCCCACCAAGGCUAUAACAGGUACGGGCUCUGAGAAGGAGGGGCCCGGAGAUGGGUACUGAGACACGGACCCAGGCCCCUAUGGGGCGCAGCAGGCGAGAAACCUUUGCAAUGUGGCGAAAGCACGACAAGGUUAAUCCGAGUGAUCUCCUGCUAAAGGAGUCUUUUGUCNNAGUUGUAGAAUCACUGGCGCAAUGGAGGGGUGGGCAAGUUCUGGUGGUUUCAGCCGCCCGCGGGGNNUAAAACCCAGCACCUCGAAGUGGUCAGGAGGUUUACUUGGGGCCCUUAAAGCAUCCGUAGCCCGGUUGCCAUUACAGUUUUCCGGUUAAAUUCCUAUGCCGGCUUCAAACCGUUAUAGNGGCCCGNACCGAAACAAUACUUGUUGCCAGCUUAGCGGCAGUGGGAGAGGUACACGGUACUCA